rnacentral:rRNA from 1 species
UGGGAUAACACCUGGAAACAGAUGCUAAUACCGGAUAACAACACUAGACGCAUGUCUAGAGUUUGAAAGAUGGUCCUGCUAUCACUCUUGGAUGGACCUGCGGUGCAUUAGCUAGUUGGUAAGGUAACGGCUUACCAAGGCAAUGAUGCAUAGCCGAGUUGAGAGACUGAUCGGCCACAUUGGGACUGAGACACGGCCCAAACUCCUACGGGAGGCAGCAGUAGGGAAUCUUCCACAAUGGACGAAAGUCUGAUGGAGCAACGCCGCGUGAGUGAAGAAGGGUUUCGGCUCGUAAAGCUCUGUUGGUAGUGAAGAAAGAUAGAGGUAGUAACUGGCCUUUAUUUGACGGUAAUUACUUAGAAAGUCACGGCUAACUACGUGCCAGCAGCCGCGGUAAUACGUAGGUGGCAAGCGUUGUCCGGAUUUAUUGGGCGUAAAGCGAGUGCAGGCGGUUCAAUAAGUCUGAUGUGAAAGCCUUCGGCUCAACCGGAGAAUUGCAUCAGAAACUGUUGAACUUGAGUGCAGAAGAGGAGAGUGGAACUCCAUGUGUAGCGGUGGAAUGCGUAGAUAUAUGGAAGAACACCAGUGGCGAAGGCGGCUCUCUGGUCUGCAGCUGACGCUGAGGCUCGAAAGCAUGGGUAGCGAACAGGAUUAGAUACCCUGGUAGUCCAUGCCGUAAACGAUCAG